UGAGGCAGGAGAAUUGCUUGAACCCAGGAGGUGGAGUGUGCAGUGAGCCGAGGUCGUGCCACUGUACUCCAGCCUGGGUGACACAGCAAGACCCUGUCUC
rnacentral:miRNA from 10 species